AACGAACGCUGGCGGCGUGCCUAACACAUGCAAGUCGAACGAGAAAUUACGCUUCGGCGUGAGAGUAAAGUGGCGCACGGGUGAGUAACGCGUGGGUAACCUACCCCUUAGACUGGGAUAACUCGCCGAAAGGCGUGCUAAUACCGGAUAUUGUCCCAGGGACCCUGGUUCCUGGGAUGAAAGGUGGCCUCUUCUUGAAAGCUGCCGUUGAGGGAUGGGCCUGCGUACCAUUAGCUUGUUGGUGGGGUAACGGCCUACCAAGGCGACGAUGGUUAGCUGGUCUGAGAGGAUGAUCAGCCGCACUGGAACUGGAACACGGUCCAGACUCCUACGGGAGGCAGCAGUGAGGAAUUUUGCGCAAUGGGGGAAACCCUGACGCGGCAACGCCGCGUGAGUGAAGAAGGCCUUCGGGUUGUAAAGCUCUGUCAAGUGGGAAAAACGUCCCGCAAUGAAUAUCUGCGGGAUCUGAUGGUACCGCUAAAGGAAGCACCGGCUAACUCCGUGCCAGCCGCCGCUGUAAAAC
rnacentral:rRNA from 1 species